AUUGAACGCUGGCGGCAGGCCUAACACAUGCAAGUCGAACGGUAACAGGAAGAAGCUUGCUUCUUUGCUGACGAGUGGCGGACGGGUGAGUAAUGUCUGGGAAACUGCCUGAUGGAGGGGGAUAACUACUGGAAACGGUAGCUAAUACCGCAUAACGUCGCAAGACCAAAGAGGGGGACCUUCGGGCCUCUUGCCAUCGGAUGUGCCCAGAUGGGAUUAGCUAGUAGGUGGGGUAACGGCUCACCUAGGCGACGAUCCCUAGCUGGUCUGAGAGGAUGACCAGCCACACUGGAACUGAGACACGGUCCAGACUCCUACGGGAGGCAGCAGUGGGGAAUAUUGCACAAUGGGCGCAAGCCUGAUGCAGCCAUGCCGCGUGUAUGAAGAAGGCCUUCGGGUUGUAAAGUACUUUCAGCGGGGAGGAAGGGAGUAAAGUUAAUACCUUUGCUCAUUGACGUUACCCGCAGAAGAAGCACCGGCUAACUCCGUGCCAGCAGCCGCGGUAAUACGGAGGGUGCAAGCGUUAAUCGGAAUUACUGGGCGUAAAGCGCACGCAGGCGGUUUGUUAAGUCAGAUGUGAAAUCCCCGGGCUCAACCUGGGAACUGCAUCUGAUACUGGCAAGCUUGAGUCUCGUAGAGGGGGGUAGAAUUCCAGGUGUAGCGGUGAAAUGCGUAGAGAUCUGGAGGAAUACCGGUGGCGAAGGCGGCCCCCUGGACGAAGACU
rnacentral:rRNA from 1 species